GAGCCUGGUAGCGCAGUGGUUGUCGCGCCCUCAUGCGAUGGGGGAGGACGCCGGUUCGAGUCCGGCCCGGCUCG
rnacentral:tRNA from 1 species